rnacentral:rRNA from 1 species
UACGGAGGGAGCGAGCGUUAAUCGGAAUUACUGGGCGUAAAGGGUGCGUAGGUGGUUGAUUAAGUUAUAUGUGAAAUUCCUGGGCUUAACCUGGGACGGUCAGAUAAUACUGGUUGACUCGAGUAUGGGAGAGGGUAGUGGAAUUUCCGGUGUAGCGGUGAAAUGCGUAGAGAUCGGAAGGAACACCAGUGGCGAAGGAGGCUACCUGGCCUAAUACUGACACUGAGGCACGAAAGCGUGGGGAGCAAACAGG